rnacentral:siRNA from 1 species
ACUCUGUGUAUAUCGCAAUACGAG